rnacentral:rRNA from 1 species
GUGAACGCUGGCGGCAGGCCUUAACACAUGCAAGUCGAACGGCAGCACAGGUAGCAAUCCCUGGGUGGCGAGUGGCGGACGGGUGAGGAAUAUAUCGGAACGUGCCCUAGUAGUGGGGGAUAACGUAGGCGAAAGUUACGCUAAUACCGCAUACGAUCUACGGGAUGAAAGCGGGGGAUCGCAAGACCUCGCGCGCAUGGAUGCGCCGAUGUCGGAUUAGCUAGUUGGUAGGGGUAAAGCCCUACCAAGGCGACGAUCAGUAGCUGGUCUGAGAGGACGACCAGCCACACUGGAACUGAGACACGGUCCCAGACUCCUACGGGAGGCAGCAGUGGGGAAUAUUGGACAAUGGGGCAAGCCCUGAUCCAGCAAUGCCGCGUGAGGUGAAGAAGGCCUUCGGGUUGUAAAGCCUCUUUUGUCAGGGAAGAAAUCUGUUCAGGCUAAUACCCGGGGACUAUGACGGUACCGGAAGAAUAAGCACCGGCUAACUACGUGCCAGCAGCCGCGGUAAUACGAAGGGUGCAAGCGUUAAUCGGAAUUACUGGGCGUAAAGCGUGCGCUAGGUGGUUGUGCAAGUACAGAUGUGAAAGCCCGGGCUUAACCUGGGAAUGGCAUUGGAUACUGGACGGGCUAGAGUGCGGUCAGAGGGGGUAGAAUUCCACGGUGUAGCAGUGAAAUGCGUAGAGAUGUGGAGGAAUAUCUGUGGCGAAGGCGAUGCCCCUGGAUCAGCACUGACACUCAGGCACGAAAGCGUGGGGAGCAAACAGGAUUAGAUACCCUGGUAGUCCACGCCCUAAACGAUGCGAACUGAUUGUCGGGAGCUAACUAGGACUUGGUAUCGCAGCUAACGCGUGAAGUAGACCGCCUGGGGAGUACGGUCGCAAGACUGAAAACUCAAAGGAAUUGACGGGGACCCGCACAAGCGGUGGAGUAUGUGGAUUAAUUCGAUGCAACGCGAAGAACCUUACCUGGCCCUUGACAUCCUACGGAACUUCCCUGAGAGGUGGAUGGUGCCUCGAGAGAACCGUGAGCACAGGUGCUGCAUGGCUGUCGUCAGCUCGUGUCGUGAGAUGUUGGGUUAAGUCCCGCAACGAGCGCAACCCUUGUCAUUAGUUGCUACGAAAGGGCACUCUAAGGAGACCUGCCGGUGACAAACCGGAGGAAGGUGGGGACUGACGUCAAGUCCUCAUGGCCCUUAAUGGCUAGGGCUUCCCACGUCAUACAAUGGUACAGGACAGAGGGCCGCCGAAUCCCGCGAGGGGGAGCUAAUCCCAGAAACCCUUUCUCAGUCCGGAUUGUAGUCUGCAACUCGACUACAUGAAGUCGGAAUCGCUAGUAAUCGCAGGAUCAGCAUGUCUGCGGUGAAUACGUUCCCGGGCCUUGUACACACCGCCCGUCACACCAUGGGAGCUGGUUUUACCAGAAGUAGGUAGCUUAACCUCAGGAGGGCGCUUAGCCACGGUAGAUGCGAUGACUGGGGUG